GGCCUCCGUUCACUCCCAACCCCUGUGACAUACCACUUGUUGCCUCGGCGGAUCAGCCCGCUCCCGGUAAAACGGGACGGCCCGCCAGAGGACCCCUAAACUCUGUUUCUAUAUGUAACUUCUGAGUAAAACCAUAAAUAAAUCAAAACUUUCAACAACGGAUCUCUUGGUUCUGGCAUCGAUGAAGAACGCAGCAAAAUGCGAUAAGUAAUGUGAAUUGCAGAAUUCAGUGAAUCAUCGAAUCUUUGAACGCACAUUGCGCCCGCCAGUAUUCUGGCGGGCAUGCCUGUUCGAGCGUCAUUUCAACCCUCAAGCACAGCUUGGUGUUGGGACUCGCGUUAAUUCGCGUUCCCCAAAUUGAUUGGCGGUCACGUCGAGCUUCCAUAGCGUAGUAGUAAAACCCUCGUUACUGGUAAUCGUCGCGGCCACGCCGUUAAACCCCAACUUCUGAAUGUUGACCUCGGAUCAGGUAGGAAUACCCGCUGAACUUAAGCAUAUCAAUAAGGCGGGGGGAAUAUAU
rnacentral:rRNA from 1 species